CAAUCCUGACUCUUUUUUCACUCAAAUUUUUCUUUAGAGUAUCACAUUAAUGCAUGAGUCUAUUGCCUAGGCAAGUGUUUAUACUUCAUUUCUCUAUUUUUUUUCAUUUCUUUUUCUCUUUUUUUUCGGUAGAAGCGGAUGUUUCUACACAGUUUUGCUUUUUCUUUUUCUUGCACUUGCCCUUUUUCCAACAUUUCUUCUAAGGAUUACCACCCCAAACUUAUCUUUUUGCACAACUUUU
rnacentral:lncRNA from 1 species